AGGGUUUGAUCCUGGCCCAGGAUGAACGCUAGCGGCGUGCUUUAAGCAUGCAAGUGGGACGAGUUGUCGCAAGACAACUAGUCGCGAACGGCUGAGUAACACGUAAGAACUUACCCCUUGGCGGGGAAUACCUCCGCGAAAGCGGGGCUAAUACCGCAUGACCUCCUGCUAUGCAGGAGAAAAGGAUUUAACUAUCCACCGAGGGAAAGGCUUGCGACCCAUCAGCUUGUUGGUGAGGUAAUGGCUCACCAAGGCUACGACGGGUAGGGGAUGUGAGAGCAUGUUCCCCCAGAAUGGGACUGAGACACGGCCCAUACACCUACGGGUGGCAGCAACUGGGAAUCGUACGCAAUGGACGAAAGUCUGACGUCGCGACGCCGCGUGAGGGAUGAAGGCGGAUUCGUUGUAAACCUCUUUUGCUCCGACUGAGAAGUCGGGGAGAAUAAGCACCGGCUAACUCCGUGCCAGCAGCAGCGGUAAUACGGAGGGUGCAAGCGUUAUCCGGAUUUAUUGGGCGUAAAGCGUUUCGUAGGCGACAUGAUAAGUCACCUUUUAAAGACUCCGGCUCAACUGGAGAAAGGGGGGUGAUACUGUCGUGUUUGAAUCAUUUAGGGGCUACCGGAACUAUCGGUGUAGGAGUGAAAUCCGUUGAUAUCGAUAGGAACACCAAGGGCGAAGGCAGGUAGCUGGGGAUGUCGGGUACCAUUUGGUACUCGACCGGGUACCGUAAGGUAUCCGGUAUUGACGCUGAGGAACGAAAGCUAGGGGAGCGAAAGGGAUUAGAGACCCCUGUAGUCCUAGCCGUAAACGAUGCUCGCUAGCCCUUCCAGGUCUGACUUGGAGGAGCGUAAGCUAACGCGUUAAGCGAGCCGCCUGGGGAGUACGAACGCAAGUUUAAAACUCAAAGGAAUUGACGGGGACCCGCACAACCAGUGGAGCAUGUGGUUCAAUUCGAGACGAACCGAAGAACCUUACCUAGCCUUGACAUACUACCGUUUUAUUCCGGCAGAAACGUUGGAAGAUCCUUCGUAAGUUGGAUGGUAGUACAGGUGUUGCAUGGCUGUCGUCAGCUCGUGCCGUGGGGUGUUCCCUUCAGUGGGGUAACGAGCGCAACCCCUGUCCUAUGUUAAAUAUUCAUAGGAGACUCUUUAAGUUUUGUCUUAUUGGGAAGUGGGGACGACGUCAAGUCAGCAUGGCCCUUAUGGCUAGGGCGACACACAUGCUACAAUGAAGCCGACAAAGGGUUGCCAAGCGGUAACGCGGAGCUAAUCCCAAAAACGGCUUCUCAGUGGGGAUUGAGGGCUGAAACCCGCCCUCAUGAACGCGGAAUUGGUAGUAAUCGCGGAUCAGUAAUGCCGCGGUGAAUACGUUCUCGGGUCUUGUACACACCGCCCGUCAAGUCAGCAAAGUUGGGGGCACCCGAAUUCCCGUUGAACGGGAGCAAGGUGACACCAGCGAUGAGGAUUAAGUCGUAACAAGGUAUCCGUACUGGAAGGUGCGGAUGGAUCACCUCCUU
rnacentral:rRNA from 1 species